CGACAGCUAGUCCUUCUUCUGGCCCCGCCUCCGAAGCCUGUGGAUUGGACUGCUCAGCCAGGUGUCACGCGCCUCCGCGGGAGCGCAGAAGAGCCAAUCAGGCGCUCGGCGUAUUUUACAAACUGGGGAAGGAGCGCCGUAGAAGCCAGAGUCAGGAAAAAGCGGAGGCAGUGUGAGUGAGCCAGAGUGGUUCCGAGUUGUAGCCGUCAUGACCACCCUCCAAGCCACAAAGGAACCUCUCCUUAGGGGUGUAUCUCCUACCCCUAGCAAGAUUCCCGUACGCUCUCAGAGACGCCAGCCUCUCCCUACAGUCAAACCCCGCGUCCUGGACCGGGAGAACCAAGAUCCAAAGAGACUGGUGCAGAAGCUCAGUAUUCAACGCCCCGUCGACUCAGCCGGCCCCACGCCAAAAGUCACACAUCAAACGGAGAAAUCAGAAAGAUCACUGGAGAGCACUCAGCUCCGGAACCCCUUGGAGGAACUGAGGCCUAGCCCUGGGGGACAAAAUGUGGGGCCUAGGCCCCCUCCCCAGACAGAGGCUCCAGGGACCGUAGAGUUUGUGGCUGACCCUGCAGCCCUGGCCACCAUCCUGUCAGGUGAGGGGGUGAAGAGCUGUCGCCUGGGGCGCCAGCCCAGUCUGGCUCAGAGAGUACUGGUUCGAGGGAGCCAGGGAGGCACCAUCCGUAGAGGCCAGGGUGCCCGGGCCUCUGCAUAUUUAGCCCCUAGAACUCCCACCCACCGACUGGACCCUGCCAGGGCUUCCUGCUUCUCGAGGCUGGAGGGACCAGGACCCCGUGGCCGGACCUUGUGUCCCCAGAGGCUAGAGGCUCUGAUUCCACCUUCAGGACGUUCCUUUCACCCCUCUGCGCACCCCAGUUUCCAGGAGCUAAGAAGAGGGACAGGUGGCAGCAGCCGGACUUCAGGGAGCCAGACCUCAGAAUUACUCCUGGAGACUUCAGUUCAGCCUGCUCCCUCUCUCCCUGAAGGAGAACAUGAAGUUGUUACUCACUCUGAUGAAGGAGGAGGGGGCCCCCUAGGUCUGGCCCAGCGGGUACCAUUAAGAGAGAUAACCCACACCAGGGACGGCCGUGCCUCCCACCUGAUACCCUCCCCUGGCCGUGUGGUGCCACCUUCCAUCGCCCAUCCAUCACCCUUUGGACAGGCUCAGCGUGUACCCUCGCCUCACACCUCAGCUCCAACCUCGUAUUCAGUUUUGCGGCGUCUUGCCAUUCGCCCCAAAACCCAGUUCACACCCAUCCUGUCGGCCCCCAGAGUUCAGCAGGCCCAGUGUUUGAGUGGCCUCUCCCCUCAGUCUUGCCCUGAAGACCCUGCCCUGCCCUGGGAGCAGAUUGCAAUCCGGUUAUUUGACCAGGAGAGCUGCGUGAGUUUGCAUGAGGGUCCUGGGAAACCCGCUGUGGCAGCUCCUCAUGGACCCCACCCUGGCACAACCCCCAAGCUCCAGGAGCUGAAGAUGCAGCGCAUCAGUAUCCUGCAGCAGCUGUUGCGACAGGAGGUAGAAGGGCUCACAGGGGGCAAGUGUGUCCCCCUGAAUGGAGGCUCCUCUCUGGAUAUGGUUGAACUUCAGCCCCUGCUAGCUGAGAUGUCUAGAACUCUCAAUGCCCCAGAGAAGAAUUCAGGGGACUUACACCCUCCCGGACUGUUACAGAACCCUGGGCUACCAAAGCCCUGCCUCCCAGAGGAGUGUGGGGAACCACAGCCCUGCCCAGGAACAAAGCUGGAGAUAGCUCAGCCCUGCCCUGCAACAGAGCCAGGGCCCCCAGAGUCCAGCCAUAGCAGGGAGCCUGGGAUACCAGAAUCCCCUGUCCAGGAACAGCCUGAGGUAUCAGAGCCCCGCCCUCCAGUAGAGCCUGGACCCCUUCAGGCAGACUCCCACGGGCAGACUGGACUCCUAGAGCCCUCCCCUAGGAUAGAGCCUGGGGCAUCAGAGGCCUGCUUCCUGGAACCUAGAAGUCCAGAGUCCAGCCCACGGCCCUGCUGCAGUCCGUGGGCACCAGCCACCACCAACCUGAUCUUCUCCUCCCAACGCCCACUCUGUGCCAGCCCCCCUAUUCACUCACUCCGGUCACUGAGGCCCCCAACAGGCCAGGCAGGUAAGGAGUUGGCUGGAAGGGCUUGUGAACAAAGGAGGUCCUCAUCUCUUACUGGGAGCGGGCCCCCACCUUGCACCAGCUGGUCCCAUUGCUUGUAUUUCCCCACCUACCCUGCCCCAGCCUGGCGCUCUUUCGGGAAGAAGGGAAGAGUUGCGCCUCGAGCUGUGUGCUGCUCUUGGCCCUUGGUGGGGGAGUGGGGAAGCGCUGGAUAUGACGGGAGUUUAGAGCCUGCCCUCAAGUCUCUGUGGCCCUCGGCCCUCAGGCCCCAGCAACCUGGCCCCUCGAACCCUGGCUCUGAGGCAGCGCCUCAAAGCAUGUUUGACUGCCAUCCACUGCUUCUACGAGGCCCGCCUGGAUGAUGAAUGUGCCUUCUACACCAGCCGAGCCCCACCCUCAGGCCCCACCCGGGUCUGCACCAACCCUGUGGCCACAUUACUUGAAUGGCAGGACGCCCUGUGUUUUAUUCCAGUUGGUUCUGCUGCCCCACAGGACUCUCUAUCAUGAUGCGUCCACAUCCUGUCCUGCCAUGAGCCUUCCUUUUAGCCCUUAUUUAUUAUCCUUCAAUAAAGUUUCUUUUUUUAUUUUA